rnacentral:rRNA from 1 species
UACGGGGGGAGCAAGCGUUGUUCGGAUUUACUGGGCGUAAAGGGCGCGUAGGCGGUCAGCACAAGUCAGUUGUGAAAUCUCCGGGCUUAACUCGGAAAGGUCAACUGAUACUGUGCGACUAGAGUGCGGAAGGGGCAACUGGAAUUCUCGGUGUAGCGGUGAAAUGCGUAGAGAUUUGGAGGAACACCAGUGGCGAAGGCGACUUUCUGGUCUGUAACUGACACUGAGGCGCGAAAGCGUGGGGGAGCAAACAGG